GAUGAAGAACGCAGCGAAAUGCGAUACGUAAUGUGAAUUGCAGAAUUCAGUGAAUCAUCGAAUCUUUGAACGCACAUUGCGCCCCCUGGUAUUCCGGGGGGCAUGCCUGUCCGAGCGUCAUUACAACCCUCAAGCUCAGCUUGGUAUUGGGCCCCGCCGACCCGGCGGGCCCUAAAGUCAGUGGCGGUGCCGUCCGGCUCCGAGCGUAGUAAUUCUUCUCGCUCUGGAGGUCCGGUCGUGUGCUCGCCAGCAACCCCCAAUUUUUUUCAGGUUGACCUCGGAUCAGGUAGGGAUACCCGCUGAACUUAAGCAUAUCAAUAAGCGGAGGA
rnacentral:misc_RNA from 1 species